UGUGGGAGCGGGCUUGCUCGCGAUUGGAGCAAUGCGGUUUACCUGAAAAACCGUAGCGCCUGCAUCGCGAGCAAGCCCGCUCCCACA
rnacentral:misc_RNA from 1 species